rnacentral:misc_RNA from 1 species
UACAGAGGGGGCAAGCGUUGUUCGGAAUUACUGGGCGUAAAGGGCGCGUAGGCGGCCUGCUAAGUCGAGCGCGAAAUCCCCGGGCGCAACCCGGGAACUGCGUCCGAUACUGGUUGGCUCGAAUUCGGGAGAGGGAUGCGGAAUUCCAGGUGUAGCGGUGAAAUGCGUAGAUAUCUGGAGGAACACCGGUGGCGAAGGCGGCAUCCUGGACCGACAUUGACGCUGAGGCGCGAAAGCCAGGGGAGCAAACGGG